rnacentral:rRNA from 1 species
UACGUAGGGUGCAAGCGUUAAUCGGAAUUACUGGGCGUAAAGCGUGCGCAGGCGGUGAUGUAAGACAGAUGUGAAAUCCCCGGGCUCAACCUGGGAACUGCAUUUGUGACUGCAUAGCUAGAGUACGGUAGAGGGGGAUGGAAUUCCGCGUGUAGCAGUGAAAUGCGUAGAUAUGCGGAGGAACACCGAUGGCGAAGGCAAUCCCCUGGACCCGUACUGACGCUCAUGCACGAAAGCGUGGGGAGCAAACAGG